GAUGAACGCUGGCGGCGUGCCUAAUACAUGCAAGUCGAGCGAACAGACGAGGAGCUUGCUCCUCUGACGUUAGCGGCGGACGGGUGGGUAACACGUAGAUAACCUACCUAUAAGACUGAGAUAACUUCGGGAAACCGGAUCUAAUACCGGAUAAUAUAUUGAACCGGGUGGUUCAAUAAUGAAAGCCGGUUUUGCUGACACUUAUUGAUGGAUCCGCGCCGGAUUAGCUAGUUGGUAGGGUAACGGCUUACCAAGGCGACGAUGCGUAGCCGACCUGAGAGGGUGAUCGGCCACACUGGAACUGAGACACGGUCCAGACUCCUACGGGAGGCAGCAGUAGGGAAUCUUGCGCAAUGGGCGAAAGCCUGACGGAGCAACGCCGCGUGAGUGAUGAAGGUCUUCGGAUCGUAAAACUCUGUUAUUAGGGAAGAACAAAUGUGUAAGUAACUAUGCACGUCUUGACGGUACCUAAUCAGAAAGCCACGGCUAACUACGUG
rnacentral:rRNA from 1 species